rfam:Triticum urartu cultivar G1812 contig1156731, whole genome shotgun sequence.
UUUAUACUCCCUCCGUUCGGAAUUACUUGUCUCGGAAAUGGAUGUAUCUAGAAUUAAAAUACGUCUAGAUACAUCCAUUUCUGCGACAAGUAAUUCCGAACGGUGGGAGUAGGAA